UACGUAGGUGGCAAGCGUUAUCCGGAUUUACUGGGUGUAAAGGGCGUGUAGGCGGGACUGCAAGUCAGAUGUGAAACCCAUGGGCUCAACCCAUGGCCUGCAUUUGAAACUGUAGUUCUUGAGUGAUGGAGAGGCAGGCGGAAUUCCGUGUGUAGCGGUGAAAUGCGUAGAUAUACGGAGGAACACCAGUGGCGAAGGCGGCCUGCUGGACAUUAACUGACGCUGAGGCGCGAAAGCGUGGGGAGCAGGCAGG
rnacentral:rRNA from 1 species